UUUUUUGGCUAAAGUCCCUCUGGAUAAAGGCAGAGAUGUUUGUAUAGGCUGGUUGUUAUCUACAUAAUCACAAACCUGGUUUCUUCAAGGAGAGUGAAACAAAGUCCCUCUUGAAAUAAGGGAUGGAUGCCCAAGUAUCAUAUGCAUUUCAUGUUGAGAGGAAGUUAAAUCCAGAUAAGUUUAAAAUUCAGUUAGUUAAUCAGAUAUUUCUCCAGUAGCAGUUUGCUUCUUGUGAAAUGCAGGCGUGUGAAG